rnacentral:tRNA from 1 species
AUUCUAUUAGUACAUAAGUAU